rnacentral:rRNA from 1 species
CGGAGUUACAAAGGACGACAUUAGACGAAUCAUCUGGAAAGAUGAAUCAAAGAAGGUAAUAAUCCUGUAGUCGAAAAUGUUGUCUCUCUUGAGUGGAUCCUGAGUACGACGGAGCACGUGAAAUUCCGUCGGAAUCUGGGAGGACCAUCUCCUAAGGCUAAAUACUCUCUAGUGACCGAUAGUGAACCAGUACCGUGAGGGAAAGGUGAAAAGCACCCCGGAAGGGGAGUGAAAUAGAACCUGAAACCGUGUGCUUACAAGUAGUCAGAGCCCGUUAAUGGGUGAUGGCGUGCCUUUUGUAGAAUGAACCGGCGAGUUACGAUUUGAUGCAAGGUUAAGCAGUAAAUGUGGAGCCGUAGCGAAAGCGAGUCUGAAUAGGGCGUUUAGUAUUUGGUCGUAGACCCGAAACCAGGUGAUCUACCCUUGGUCAGGUUGAAGUUCAGGUAACACUGAAUGGAGGACCGAACCGACUUACGUUGAAAAGUGAGCGGAUGAACUGAGGGUAGCGGAGAAAUUCCAAUCGAACCUGGAGAUAGCUGGUUCUCUCCGAAAUAGCUUUAGGGCUAGCCUCAAGUGAUGAUUAUUGGAGGUAGAGCACUGUUUGGACGAGGGGCCCCUCUCGGGUUACCGAAUUCAGACAAACUCCGAAUGCCAAUUAAUUUAACUUGGGAGUCAGAACAUGGGUGAUAAGGUCCGUGUUCGAAAGGGAAACAGCCCAGACCACCAGCUAAGGUCCCAAAAUAUAUGUUAAGUGGAAAAGGAUGUGGCGUUGCCCAGACAACUAGGAUGUUGGCUUAGAAGCAGCCAUCAUUUAAAGAGUGCGUAAUAGCUCACUAGUCGAGUGACACUGCGCCGAAAAUGUACCGGGGCUAAACAUAUUACCGAAGCUGUGGAUUGUCCUUUGGACAAUGGUAGGAGAGCGUUCUAAGGGCGUUGAAGCAUGAUCGUAAGGACAUGUGGAGCGCUUAGAAGUGAGAAUGCCGGUGUGAGUAGCGAAAGACGGGUGAGAAUCCCGUCCACCGAUUGACUAAGGUUUCCAGAG